CAGAGACUGCAAGCGUUAUUCGGAUUCACUGGGCGUAAAGGGUGCGCAGGCGGCCGUGUGUGUUAGGUGUGAAAGCCCGAGGCUUAACCUCGGAAUUGCGCCUAAAACUACACGGCUAGAGCAUUGGAGAGGGUAGCAGAAUUCAUGGUGUAGCAGUGAAAUGCGUAGAUAUCAUGAGGAAUACCAGAGGCGAAGGCGGCUACCUGGACAAUUGCUGACGCUCAGGCACGAAAGCGUGGGGAGCAAAAGGGAUUAGAUACCCCUGUAGUCCACGCCCUAAACGGUGCACACUAGGUCUUAGCGGAUUCGAUCCCGCUAGGGCCCAAGCUAACGCGUUAAGUGUGCCGCCUGAGGACUACGGUCGCAAGACUA
rnacentral:rRNA from 1 species